rnacentral:rRNA from 1 species
CGGCGACCGGCGCACGGGUGAGUAACACGUAUGCAACCUGCCCUUGACACUGGGAUAACCCGGAGAAAUCCGGACUAAUACCGGGCGACACCUUCGGAGGGCAUCCUCCUUAGGUCGAAGGAAGCGAUUCCGGUCAAGGAUGGGCAUGCGGCGCAUUAGCUAGUUGGCGGGGUAACGGCCCACCAAGGCGACGAUGCGUAGGGGUUCUGAGAGGAAGGUCCCCCACAUUGGUACUGAGACACGGACCAAACUCCUACGGGAGGCAGCAGUGAGGAAUAUUGGUCAAUGGGCGCGAGCCUGAACCAGCCAAGUCGCGUGAGGGAAGACGGCCCUACGGGUUGUAAACCUCUUUUGUCGGGGAGCAAGGACUGCCACGAGUGGCAGGGCGAGAGUACCCGAAGAAAAAGCAUCGGCUAACUCCGUGCCAGCAGCCGCGGUAAUACGGAGGAUGCGAGCGUUAUCCGGAUUUAUUGGGUUUAAAGGGUGCGUAGGCGGAAGUUCAAGUCAGCGGUAAAAUCGAGGGGCUCAACCCCUUUAAGCCGUUGAAACUGGGUUUCUUGAGUGGGCGAGAAGUGUGCGGAAUGUGUGGUGUAGCGGUGAAAUGCAUAGAUAUCACACAGAACUCCGAUUGCGAAGGCAGCACACCGGCGCCCAACUGACGCUGAGGCACGAAAGCGUGGGGAUCAAACAGGAUUAGAUACCCUGGUAGUCCACGCAGUAAACGAUGAACACUAGGUGUGCGGGUCGAAUGAGAUCUGCGUGCCACAGCGAAAGCGUUAAGUGUUCCACCUGGGGAGUACGCCGGCAACGGUGAAACUCAAAGGAAUUGACGGGGGCCCGCACAAGCGGAGGAACAUGUGGUUUAAUUCGAUGAUACGCGAGGAACCUUACCCGGGCUCAAACGGCAGAGGAAAGUUUUUGAAAGGAGGCUGCUCUACGGAGCCUCUGCCGAGGUGCUGCAUGGUUGUCGUCAGCUCGUGCCGUGAGGUGUCGGCUUAAGUGCCAUAACGAGCGCAACCCCUACCGCCAGUUGCCAUCAGGUAAAGCUGGGGACUCUGGCGGGACUGCCGGCGCAAGCUGUGAGGAAGGCGGGGAUGACGUCAAAUCAGCACGGCCCUUACGUCCG